rnacentral:rRNA from 1 species
UACGAGGGGGGCGAGCGUUGUUCGGAAUUAUUGGGCGUAAAGGGUGCGUAGGCGGUUUGGUAAGUCUGAUGUGAAAUCUAUGGGCUCAACUCAUAGUCUGCAUCGGAAACUGCCGGGCUUGAGUAUGGGAGAGGUGAGUGGAAUUCCUGGUGUAGCGGUGAAAUGCGUAGAUAUCAGGAGGAACACCUGUGGCGAAAAGCGGCUCACUGGACCAUAACUGACGCUGAUGCACGAAAAGCUAGGGGAGCAAACAGG